rnacentral:tRNA from 1 species
GGGGUGGUGGUUCAGUGGUAGAAUUCUCACCUUUCAUGUGAGAGACCUGGGUUCGAUCUUGGCCAAUGCA